CAGCCGCCGCGGUAACACGUAGGUCCCGAGCGUUGUCCGGAUUUAUUGGGCGUAAAGCGAGCGCAGGCGGUUAGAUAAGUCUGAAGUUAAAGGCUGUGGCUUAACCAUAGUACGCUUUGGAAACUGUUUAACUUGAGUGCAAGAGGGGAGAGUGGAAUUCCAUGUGUAGCGGUGAAAUGCGUAGAUAUAUGGAGGAACACCGGUGGCGAAAGCGGCUCUCUGGCUUGUAACUGACGCUGAGGCUCGAAAGCGUGGGGAGCAAACAGGAUUAGAUACCCCCGUAGUCCCUGUCUCUUAUACC
rnacentral:rRNA from 1 species